rnacentral:rRNA from 1 species
UACGGAGGGUGCGAGCGUUAAUCGGAAUUACUGGGCGUAAAGCGUGCGUAGGCGGUAUCGUAAGUCAGAUGUGAAAGCCCCGGGCUCAACCUGGGAAUUGCAUUCGAUACUGGAUAGCUAGAGUUCGGCAGAGGGAAGCGGAAUUUCCGGUGUAGCGGUGAAAUGCGUAGAUAUCGGAAGGAACAUCAGUGGCGAAAGCGGCUUCCUGGACCAGAACUGACGAUCAGGCACGAAAGCGUGGGGAGCAAACAGG